AACGAGAUGGCCCAGUGAAAGUUGCGUGCUUGCACAAGACUGGAUCUGGAUCACCAUCUAGUGGCAGACGGGUGAGUAACACGUGGGUGACCUACCUUUUCGUUGGGGAUAACAGUUGGAAACGAUUGCUAAUACCGAAUAAAAUAUAAGAGUCGAUUUUAUAUUGAAAGGAGCCUUUAAAGCUUCGCGAUUAGAUGGGCCUGCGGCGUAUUAACUAGUUGGUGGGGUAAUGGCCUACCAAGGUAACGAUGCGUAGCCGAACUGAGAGGUUGAUCGGCCACACUGGGACUGAGACACGGCCCAGACUCCUACGGGAGACAGCAGUUAGGAAUAUUCGUCAAUGGAGGAAACUCUGAACGAGCAAUGCCGCGUGAGUGAUGAAGGUCUUAUAGAUUGUAAAACUCUGUUGUAUGGAAAAAACGACUAGGUUAGGAAAUGAACUUAGUGUGAUGGUACCAUACCAGAAAGCCCCGGCUAACUACGUGCCAGCAGCCGCGGUAAUACGUAGGGGGCGAGCGUUAUCCGGAUUAAUUGGGCGUAAAGCGUGUGUAGGCGGUUUGUUAAGUUUAAGAUUAAAGCCCGGGGCUCAACUCCGGUAAGUCUUAAAAACUGGCAGGCUUGAGUACGGUAGAGGCAAACGGAAUUUCUAGUGUAGCGGUGAAAUGCGUAGAUAUUAGAAGGAACACCAGUGGCGAAAGCGGUUUGCUGGGCCGUUACUGACGCUGAGGCACGAAAGCGUGGGGAGCAAAUAGGAUUAGAUACCCUAGUAGUCCACGCCGUAAACGAUGAGUACUAAGCGUUGGGGUUACCCAGUGCUGAAGCUAACGUAUUAAGUACUCCGCCUGAGUAGUACGGUCGCAAGGCUGCAACUCAAAUGAAUUGACGG
rnacentral:rRNA from 1 species